AGAGUUUGAUCCUGGCUCAGAUUGAACGCUGGCGGCAUGCUUUACACAUGCAAGUCGAACGGCAGCACGGGGGCAACCCUGGUGGCGAGUGGCGAACGGGUGAGUAAUACAUCGGAACGUGUCCUGAGGUGGGGGAUAACCUGGCGAAAGCCAGGCUAAUACCGCAUACGCUCGGAAGAGGAAAGCAGGGGAUCGCAAGACCUUGCGCGUCAGGAGCGGCCGAUGUCCGAUUAGCUAGUUGGUGGGGUAAAGGCCCACCAAGGCGACGAUCGGUAGCUGGUCUGAGAGGAUGAUCAGCCACACUGGGACUGAGACACGGCCCAGACUCCUACGGGAGGCAGCAGUGGGGAAUUUUGGACAAUGGGGGCAACCCUGAUCCAGCCAUGCCGCGUGAGUGAAGAAGGCCUUCGGGUUGUAAAGCUCUUUCGGUGGGAACGAAAUGGUUACGGCUAAUACCUGUGACUGAUGACGGUACUCACAGAAGAAGCACCGGCUAACUACGUGCCAGCAGCCGCGGUA
rnacentral:rRNA from 1 species